rnacentral:rRNA from 1 species
UUUUUGGGCUUGGUAAUUGGAAUGAGGGAGAGUUAAACGGACCAUCGAGUAUCCAUUGGAGGGCAAGUCUGGUGCCAGCAGCUGCGGUAAUACCAGCUCCAAUAGCGUAUAUUAAAGUUGUUGCAGUUAAAAAGCUCGUAGUUGGACUUGUGUGCGCUGUCCGCGGGUGGCCUGCGCCCAAAAGGGCGUUUCGGUUCGGCCCCGGUGGCGCCUUGAAAUCUGCAGCUGGGGGGACGUUGGCCUUAACUGGUCGGCGACCGCACGCCGGCUGCUCGGUUACUGUGAGAAAAUUAGAGUGUUCAAGGCAGGCAUUGGGUGCAAUUGAAUACAUUAGCAUGGAAUAAUAAAAUAUGGCUCCUGCCGUAUUUUGUUGGUUUUGACUGGUGGGAGUAAUGAUUGAUAGGGACGGUUGGGGGUGCUAGUAUUGAGCGGCCAGAGGUGAAAUUCAUGGAUUCGCUCAAGACUAACUUAUGUGAAAGCAUUCACCAAGGGCGUCCUCUUUAAUCAAGAACGAAAGUUGGGGGAUCGAAGACGAUCAGAUACCGUCGUAGUCUCAACCAUAAACUAUGUCGACUUGGGAUCGGCGGUAGUUUUUUCAUUAAGACACUGUCGGGACCACGGGAGAAAUCAAAGUGUCUGGACUCUGGGGGAAGUAUGGUCGCAAGGCUGAAACUUGAAGGAAUUGACGGAAGGGCACCACCAGGAGUGGAGCCUGCGGCUUAAUUUGACACAACACGGGGAAACUUACCAGGUCCAGAGAUGUAGAGGAUUGACAGAUUGAAGCUCUUUCUUGAUCACUUCGGUGGUGGUGCAUGGCCGUUCUUAGUUGGUGGAGUGAUUUGUCUGGUUAAUUCCGUUAACGAACGAGACCUCAGCCUGCUAGUGUAGUCGGCUGGAUUGCCUUUGGCGAUCCGUGAUUUCGACUUCUUAGAGGGACAAUCGACGCGCAGUCGAUGGAAGUUUGAGGCAAUAACAGGUCUGUGAUGCCCUUAGAUGUUCUGGGCCGCACGCGCGCUACACUGCUGGGCUCAGCGAGUUUUACUUGGCCGAGAGGCCCGGUUAAUCUUGUGAAAUCCCAGCGUGCUUGGGCUCGCCUCCUGCAACUGGAGGCGCCAACGAGGAAUUCCUAGUAGACGCAGGUCAUCAACCUGCAUCGAUUACGUCCCUGCCCUUUGUACACACCGCCCGUCGUUCCAUAAGAGUGAGGCAUCCGGUGAAUUCUCGGGAGAGCCUGGGCGUGGCCAGCAAUGGUCUGCUCGGGUUUGAACUUGCAUAAACUUGGUGCCUAUGAUUAGGG